AACGCAACUUGCGCUCCUUGGUAUUCCAAGGAGCAUGCCUGUUUGAGUGUCAUGAAAUAUGUUUAGAUCUUGAUCUAAGAGUUGGGUGGUUGCCAUUGUAAAGUGGCUCACCUGAAAUAGAUUUAGAAGACAAGUUGGACAAUAAUAAUUGAAGGCCAACUUGGAUUAAUGAGAUAUUUGACCUCAAAUCAGGUAGGACUACCCGCUGAACUUAA
rnacentral:misc_RNA from 1 species